UACGAAGGGGCUAGCGUUGUUCGGAAUUACUGGGCGUAAAGCGUAUGCAGGCGGAUCGUUAAGUCGGGGGUGAAAUCCCGAGGCUCAACCUCGGAACUGCCUUCGAUACUGGCGAUCUUCGAGUCCGGGAGAGGUGAGUGGAACUCCGAGUGUAGAGGUGAAAUUCGUAGAUAUUCGGAAGAACACCAGUGGCGAAGGCGG
rnacentral:rRNA from 1 species